rnacentral:rRNA from 1 species
AGAAUCAACGCUGGCGGCGUGCCUAACACAUGCAAGUCGAACGCGAAAGUCCCGAAAGGGAUAAGUAGAGUGGCAAACGGGUGAGUAACACGUGGGUGACCUGCCUUCGAGCGGGGGAUAACGUCCCGAAAGGGACGCUAAUACCGCAUAACAUCCUGCCUUUUAAGAGGUGGAGAUCAAAGCCGGGGACCGCAAGGCCUGGCACUUGAAGAGGGGCCCGCGUCUGAUUAGCUAGUUGGUGGGUAAUGGCCUACCAAGGCAACGAUCAGUA